UACGUAGGGUGCAAGCGUUGUCCGGAAUUAUUGGGCGUAAAGAGCUCGUAGGCGGCUUGUUGCGUCGACUGUGAAAACCCGUGGCUCAACUGCGGGCUUGGCGGUCGAUACGGGCGGGCUAGAGUUCGGUAGGGGGAGACUGGAAGUUCCUGGUGUAGCGGGUGAAAUGACGCAGAUAUCAGGAGGAACACCGGUGGCGAAGGCGGGGUCUCUGGGCCGAUACUG
rnacentral:rRNA from 1 species